UACAGAGGUCUCAAGCGUUGUUCGGAUUCAUUGGGCGUAAAGGGUGCGUAGGCGGCGCGGUAAGUCGGGUGUGAAAUCUUGGAGCUUAACUCCGAAACUGCAUUCGAUACUGCCGUGCUUGAGGACUGGAGAGGAGACUGGAAUUUAUGGUGUAGCAGUGAAAUGCGUAGAGAUCAUGAGGAAGACCAGUGGCGAAGGCGGGUCUCUGGACAGUUCCUGACACUGAGACACGAAGGCCAGGGGAGCAAACGGG
rnacentral:rRNA from 1 species